UCCCCGCUGCCUUCCCGGCGGCCUGCGGCGGUCGCGGGCGGCCGAGCUGCUCGGUGCUUGCCGGCGCUGCCCAUGGGGGAGUGCGGGGUCCCCCCCCAGGUCCAGCUCUUCCUCCGCGCCUGCGAGCAGGGCGACUGCGAGACCGCCCGGCGGCUGCUGGGGCUGCCUGGAGGCGGCCCCGCCGAUCCGACGGCCCCCUCGUCCUCCUGCGGUACGGAGGAGGCAGCGGCGGAGCCCCGCGGCGAAGGGUCCGCUCCGCCGACCCCCAGUGUUCCCGUGGAUUGCACCGACGAGGCCGGCAACACGGGGCUGCAGUUCGCCGCGGCGGGGGGCCACGAGCAGCUGGUGCGAUUCCUGCUGCGGAAAGGGGCCUCGGUGCAGAGCAGGAACCACUACGGAUGGAGCCCCCUCAUGCAGGCGGCCAGGUUUGGACAUCUAAGUGUGGCUCACAUCCUGCUGGAGAAUGGUGCAGAUCUCAAUGCACAGAAUAAGUUAGGAGCCAGUGUCCUCACAAUGGCCUCCAGAGGCGGCCAUGUCAGCAUGGUGAAAUUGUUGCUGGAAUCUGGGGCUUUUGUUGACAAUUACGACCAUUUUAGCACAAAUGUACUGAACAGCAGCAGGGAUGACCUUCCCGAUAUCACUCCCCUAAUGGCAGCUGCCCAGCAUGGACAUGAGGCAGUGGUACAUCUGUUACUAGACUGGGGAGCUGAUUGUAAUUACACUCUGAAGACCAUGGGUUGGAGUCCUUUAAUGCUGGCAGCUGUUAGUGGAAAGGUGAGCUUGGCACAGCAGCUCAUGGAGAAAGGAGCCAAUCCUGAUCACCUGAAUGUACUACAUAAAACACCUUUUGAAAUCUCUGUUGGCUUCAAACACAAAGACAUGAAGGAUUACCUGGAAUCUCUCACAACGAUCAGACCCCAGGCAGAUACAGAAAAGAAGCAACCUGAUGUUUUUCAUGCUUUGAAAUUGGGAAACUUUCAGCUGGUUAAGGAGAUUGUUGAUGAUGACCAAAGCCAGGUCAAUAUUAGCAACGUUGAUGGUGCCUCCCCAUUAAUGAUUGCAGCUGUAACUGGGCAGCUGCCCCUUGUUCAACUCCUUGUUGAGAAAAAUGCUGAUAUUGACAAACAAGACAAUAUUCAUGGCUGGACAGCACUAAUGCAGGCUACAUACCAUGGAAACAAGGAUGUGGUAAAAUAUUUGUUAAAUCAAGGAGCUGAUGUCAAUCUUCGAGCGAAAAAUGGAUACACAGCUUUUGACCUGAUAAUGCUGCUGAAUGAUCCAGACACAGAGCUUGUACGAUUACUGGCAUCAGCAUGCAUGCAAAUAGACAAAGACAAGAAUAAACUGAACAGCAAAUCAUCUUUGCCUUGUUCCAGAAGUAGGCAAUCGUUAAAUGUCCCAAUGUUGCCAGAUGACAAAGGAGGUCUAAAGUCCUGGUGGAGCAGGAUGUCCAAUCGAUUCCGCAAGCUGAAGUUAACUCAGACGUUGCGCCAUGGAUUUCCUUCCAAUCAGUUUGUGCCUUUUCCUGAUGAGCCUGAACCACCAUUAAAUUCCACCUUAAAAGUAGUUUCACAGAGUGAUAUGGACACCUCUCGAAACCUUGAUGCUGCUACAGCUUGGAUCACAAAUAACAAAUCUAGUGGUGUAAACACUGAAAAAGGAGGAAAGGAUGAUGAAUUACUGACAACCAUGUUGAGAAGCAGUGCUCCGUUUACCAGGCUGCCCAGCGAUAAGCUCAAAGCAGUGAUACCACCUUUCUUACCACCCUCAAGCUUUGAGCUUUGGAAUUCUGACCGAACGCGACCCAGCAAAGAUGGCAAAGCUGAACAGAUGAGAACUGCCUGGCCACAGAGAGCCAUCAAGCAUGAUUUUAACAGCAGUGGGAACUCUGAUAUAAUAUCUGUUAACAAAGGUACUAGACCAGUCAAAUUACCAACAUUUCCAAGAAGACCUGCAUCUCCUUCAAAUUCCAGCAACUUCAACCAUUCUCCCCAUUCUUCUGGUGGAUCCAAUAACAUUGCAGGAAUUAAUAGACAUGGUGGAGAAAUGCAUAACAGAUCAGGUGGCAGUGCAGAUAAUGUUUUGUCUCAGAUUGCAGCCCAAAGAAGAAAAGCAGCAGGCUUACCUGAGCAGAAACCCAGCCAACGGCAUAGUCCGGUUCAGUCAACUCCUUCAUCCACUCUGUCUGAUUUGCAGUGUGCUCAAAUUGUUGGCAAUGGACAUGUAAAGCAAAAACUUGAGAUGAACAAAAGGCCUCCAUCUGGGACUUCAUCAACGUCUAAAAGCACGUCACCAACUCUCACACCUUCCCCAUCACCCUCUCCGUCUCCUAAGGUCCACAACGCAGAAUCUUCUCUCUCUUCAUCUCACAGACAGGCCAAGAGCAAUGGUUCCAGCAGUGGUACUAUUACAGAAGAUGGUAACCACUUGGUGGACCAUCAACAGCUUGUCCAUAUUCUGAAAACCAGUGAUGUAGAGAAUCAUGAAAGACGAAACCAUGUGAGAGUAAAAGGAGGCUCUGAAAACAUGGAGAAAGAUGAGCUGACUGGCAUCCUUAAAAAAUUGUCACUUGAGAAAUAUCAGCCUAUUUUUGAGGAACAAGAGGUGGAUAUGGAAGCCUUCCUUACACUUACUGAUGGUGAUCUGAAAGAGCUUGGUAUUAAAACUGAUGGAUCAAGGCAGCAAAUUUUGGCAGCUAUUUCUGAACUGAAUGCAGGAAAGGGACGAGAGAGACAGAUUUUACAAGAAACUAUACACAACUUCCACUCUUCCUUUGAGAGCAGUGUUAGUAACACACGACCUCCAGGUCAUUCCCAGUGUGAAAAGAAAAGAGAACACUCCAACAUCUAUCAGGGGCACUGAUCAAAAGGAAGGUUCAGAUAUCAAAGGAAAAUGAAUAUUCUCCAGAUACAAGUUAAAUGAAGAUUAACUAUGUGUACGAUGGAAAGAAAAUGCCAUUCAGUCUCUGAGUCUGAGGAAAUUCUGGUCUUCCAGUUUCUCUUUACAUAUGAUACACCUGGCUGCUCUAUAAAACCACAAGAAGCUGUUUCUCCUAAAAGGUAGCUACUGGAAAAAAAAAAGAUUUAUUUACUUAUGGUGAAGUUUGGCAUCUGGCUGAAUAAAUCCAAGUGUACGAAUGAAAAUUUGAAAACUUAGUCCUAACUACAUCUAUGUAGGACUUUCUGCAGUACUGUGCUUAAAAUGAAUAGCCCACAAAGAAAGAAAAUAGUAAAGAGAUUGCUUUUAUAGAUCACCCUAAGUGUUGAAUUGUCCAGGAUGUCAAUGGUCUGGAUUUGAGAAGAGCAAAGAGCAGGAAGAAUGAAUGACCAUACAAGAAGAUGAUUCAGACUUAUGUUCUACUCUUGCCCAUAGAUGAAGAACUGAUAGGAGGCCUACGUGGCCACAGUCAAGACCAACAAAAGUAUGGAAAAAGGGAUGCAAAAACCACCACGAAUGAUGAGAGUUUCUACAUGGAGAACUAUAUAAACUGCAUAUACCUCUAUUGAGUGGAUACAGAUAAAGGAGUCCAAUUGAAAAUGUAAUGGUUUCAUAAGAACAAAUGUAAAGGAAAAGUAAUGCGGCAUUCCUUCAUUAACCAAAGUACACUUUUAGCUAUUCAAUAUUAAGAGAUAAGAACAGCAGUAAAAGUAAAUAUGAAAUACCUUUUUGCAAAAUCAGCACUUUAUUUAAAGAAAUGUGUAAUCUGACAGCAAUAUUUAAACAGAAAUAAUGUUGAAA